GACGAACGUUGGCGGCGUGCUUAACACAUGCAAGUCGAACGGAAAGGCCCUGCUUUUGUGGGGUGCUCGAGUGGCGAACGGGUUAGUAACACGUUAGUCACCUGCCCUUGACUUUGGGAUAACUUCACGAAACUUGGGCUAAUACCUCAUAGGAUCUCCUGCUUCAUGGUGCGGGUUGGAAAGUUUCGGCGGUUGGGGAUGGACUCGCGGCUGAUCAGCUUGUUGGUGGGGUAUUGGCUUACCAAGGCUUUGACGGGUAGCCGGCCUGAGAGGGUGACCGGCAACAUUGGGACUGAGAUACGGCGCAGAAUCCUACGGGAGGCAGCAGUGGGGAAUAUUGCACAAGGGGGGGAAGCCGGAUGCAGCAAAGCCGCGUGCGGGAUGACGGCCUUCGGGUUGUAAACAGCUGUAGCCUGGGACGAAGAGUGAGUGACGGUAAUGGGUAAAGAAGCACCGGCUAAGUACGUG
rnacentral:rRNA from 1 species